AAGAAAGGACAGAAAUCAGUAAGUACUGCUAAUACUUACACCCGAGGUUAAAAUCCCCGGCUUUCUUA
rnacentral:tRNA from 1 species